GACGAACGCUGGCGGCGUGCUUAACACAUGCAAGUCGAACGGAAAGGCCCUGCUUUUGUGGGGUGCUCGAGUGGCGAACGGGUGAGUAACACGUGAGUAACCUGCCCUUGACUUUGGGAUAACUUCAGGAAACUGGGGCUAAUACCGGAUAGGAGCUCCUGCUGCAUGGUGGGGGUUGGAAAGUUUCGGCUGUUGGGGAUGGACUCGCGGCUUAUCAGCUUGUUGGUGGGGUAGUGGCUUACCAAGGCUUUGACGGGUAGCCGGCCUGAGAGGGUGACCGGCGACAUUGGGACUGAGAGACGGACCAGACUCCUACGGGAGGCAGCAGUGGGGAAUAUUGCACAAUGGGCGGAAGCCUGAUGCAGCAACGCCGCGUGCGGGAUGACGGCCUUCGGGUUGUAAACCGCUUUAGCCUGUGACGAAGCGUGAGUGACGGUAAUGGGUAAAGAAGCACCGGCUAACUACGUG
rnacentral:rRNA from 1 species